AUUUGAUGUAAUUUGCGCAAUUUUGUUGUGAUUUUGCUAUUAUUAUGAAUAUUUUUGUUUAUUUUUUGUUUCUUUUUUGAAUUGCGUGUCCUCGAGAUGCGGGUGGAGAGAGGCUGGAGAGAAUGAGCGACAGAGGGGAGGGUGUUCGUCACCCGUGGUAGUAAUCGUCCGUGGCCCACCCCUGCAGGCAACCACUCCGGCCCUAAGAAUAAAAAGUCUCAAUUCUCCCCAGCUCUCUCUUCCGCAUCGACCUCUUCAACCUCUCGUUACUGUAAUGUGAGAUUUGUAUUUGAUUCUGAUCCUGAUCCUGAUGCAGUGGUGGAAGCUCCUCUAGGUGAGCUCUGAUCCAUUUUUUGUAGUGUCGUCAACUGCUGAUUUGCAAAAUUUAUGGCAUCAGUUACGUUGCGUGAGGGAUACUCGUCGUGUUCUGCGUGGGACGGGAGAGGCGAGCUUGUGGUAUGCAAGGAGCUGAGCAGGAAGGGAUUUCGUCCGCAGUGGUGUGAGAGGUGACGAUGAUGAAAUGAUACUGGGGAUCGUGCGGAUCUUGACGGGGAUUAUCGUGUAUCGCAGUGCUUGGUGUCUGUGAUUACAUGCGACUACGGUGGGGAAAUUCAGAGGGUAAACGAAAGGUAGCGAUGAGGACAUCGAUUGCAGUGGUGAAUGGAGAGUAUGUGACGUGGUUUGCAUGUAGAGGGGAGGCUUUUGCAAUUGUUGUCUGGAAUCGGUCUUACAUUGGAUUCUAGGUUGUUUGAUUAGAGGCAAUUCGCUGCGGGAGGGAAGAGGUUAUGUUGUUCUGUGGGAAUUGGACUUGACGGCAGUUAGCUGUGUUUUGUGUAAUCACCUGGUGCAAAAUUCAUGUAGUAUAAGUUACGUGUAGGAAUCCUCUUGGCAGUUCGGUAAGGGUAGUGUGUCGCGAGGCGAAAGUUCUUCGUGGUAGGCUUGUGGAUGCUGAUUCAGUUAUCAGGCUUGUUUCAAUUUUCGUGCUGUGUGUGGAUUGCGUGAAAGAGGGUUAAUUGUGUGCUCGUCUCGGUCUUGUCAGGGGAGUUGAAUUGAACCUGGAUUUUCGCUGGCUGGGUCCUCUUGCCUUUGUUGAUGAUUCGACAAGUGCUCUUAAUGCGACUUGAAAUUUGAGCGAUUUCACGACUUCCAAUGAUCUUGGAAAUCUUGGAAGCGUUUAGUUUUCUUUGCAGCUCAUAAUUCAUGGCAUGGUAGUGUGCGAUGCUUUUAGGAGACUGUUCUUUUGAGAACAUCGUAUGCUUGGAUGUUUACUAUCUUUCACGGUUUACGUUGCUCAUCGUUUAGUGUUGUCGAGUUCAUGCAAUAGAGUUUCUCGUGUAAACAUUCUUUCUGAGUUCGAAUUCUGUGUUUAAAGUUAGUCUAUCUGGGACAUGCUAGGUAAGGAUAACUUUUCCGAUCGGUUAUUGUAAAACCAAAUCAUAUUGCACAAGGAUUGGUUGGGUUGAUAACCUAACAGCAUAUUGCUACUGGGAAGGGCUUUUAUGUUGUACAUGUAUCUAUCGUAGGUUUCUGAGGACGUAACGGGCUGACAAAACUCGUCAGUAGUUGCCAGGUAAAUGGUUCCUAGUAAGCUUCAAUUUGAGCAGCCUCGUUCUUGUUGCAAUCGAGUUUAGCGACUUUGAUACGUUGGUUUUUGUAUGAAUGCGUGCUUCGGAAUUAGGUUGAACGUGUGAGUAGCUGUAAGAUUUCGCUUUUAGUGGUUCUGUAAAGGAAUGUGGAUCAAAUGAGCGCGUCAAUUGUCGUGAGAUUGAAGUUCUCUGCUCGAAGUUAUUCAGACAACAGUGCAUAUUGAUUCUAACACAUUCUCCAAUAAGAAUCGCUUUAUGUUAGAUUGGCUUGCAUCCUUCUCUAGUCGUUUAUUAUAUCAAUGCCGUUCCAGUGUUUUCAUCUCAGACAAGAUUUCCUUUAGUUACAAGUUUUGUGACCAUAGAAGCCAAAUCUAUCAACAAAUGAUGCUGGGUUUACCUGCAAAUGUAUUCUUCGCAAAUUGAAUUCAUGGCGUUUUUCCAGAGCUAAGCUCGAAGCACCAAGUAUUGACGCCAUUAAUUGGGUGUAAAGAAACGCAGCGCGGGUAUGCGCACAGAAAGGCUAACGAGUUUUGUAAAGCAAGGCACAGAGUGGGAUGAGGAACGAUGCCGACAAUCAUGUGCAUAGUCCCCGUGGGGGGAAGUUCGGUUCAUUUCCUUCUUCUCUUCGCACUAUAUCUAAAUACGUGCGCAGUGUCUCUGCAAAUGCGGGCAGCAUUGCUGCAUCCACCGUACGUCAAGCUGCUGUCUCAGCAGCUUCGAGAGUUUCACUCAACGAAGAUGAUCGUCAGCGGGAACAGGUCCAGUGGUCAAGUUUUGACAAGUUAGAGCUUGACUCAGGCGAGGUUCGAAAGGUACUAUUAUUGACGUAUUUGAAUAGAUUUCAGGUGUGGGAUGUACAAGACGCGGGUAAUGUGCAUGAACUGGUCUCGCGCUGUGAUGGACCAGUCGCAUUCCUGCGUCUUCAACCUAAACCAAUACUUCAGGAAUCAACUGAUGGAUGUGCAAAUUUCAAGGAAUCUCGACCUUUGCUGUUAGUUGUUACUUCGGAUGCAACAGUCUGUGGAAGUGAAAGUGCUGCAGGUUUCCCGGGUGACGAUGUUGCUGGUAGCGGGGGCACCACUGUGGGUUUGGAACCUCCACAGUUUGUGCCAACCGUUAUCCAGUUUUAUUCACUUCGCAAUCACUCCUAUGUUCAUGGGUUAAGAUUGCACACUGGAAUUCUUGCAGUCCGCUGUAGCUCUCGUUUCGUCGCAGUGGCUUUAGCGUCUCAGAUAUGUUGCUUUGAUGCAGGGACGCUUCAGAAUAUUUUUAGUGUGCUUACUUAUCCAUCCCCUGCAACCCCAUUAGGAUCCUGUCACUAUGGAUACGGUGCAAUGGCAGUUGGACCUCGGUGGCUAGCAUAUGCAGCCAGCCAGCCUCUUACGACGGUCUCGAGCCGCGUAUCCCCUCAACAUUUGACCCCGUCUCCAGUGGCAAGCCCAUCUACUUCUCCAGCCAACAGUAGUGUAGUGGCUCAUUAUGCUAAGGAGUCUAGCAAACAUAUCGUUGCAGGAGUAGUGGCAUUGGGUGAUAUUGGUAUCAGGAAAAUAUCUAGAUACUGCUCGGAUUUGUUACCGGAUAGUAGCAAUGCUUCUCCAGGAAAAAGGAAUCCCAGUAGUAAGAAUGGCAUUAAUGGACACAGUCCAUGGCGAGAAGGAAUCGUCCCCGAACCAGAGUUUGCUGGCACCGUGACCAUUCGGGACAUUGUGAGCAAAAAUAUAGUGGCACAAUUCAGGGCUCACUCUAGCCCUUUGUCAGCACUUUCUUUUGAUCCUAGCGGCACUCUUCUGGUCACAGCAUCCAUAUAUGGGCACAGCCUCAAUGUCUUUCGUCUCAUGCCUUUACCCUCAAUAGCUGGUGGUAACGGGACUGGUGACGAUUUAAGCACGACUGCUGUGCAUCUUUACAAACUCUCUCGUGGGAUCACAAAUGCGGUGAUUCAGGAUAUCAGUUUCAGUUGCGACAGUCACUGGAUUGCUGUUAGCUCUUCAAGGGGAACGAACCACUUGUAUGCUAUAUCUCCUUUUGGAGGGAUAGUGGGGCCACAAACGCACGGAACUGUAUCCAUUAAUGGACUGAUUGGGCCUCCUUCAACACCGGUUCCUGCAUUCUCCUGGUGGUCUGGUACAGAGCCACUGAAUCUGAAUCAGCCAGCACUUAACCCGCCUCCUCCUGCCAUAACACUCAAUGUCGUGGGUAGAAUAAAGAAUGGGAAUGGUGGAUGGCGGGGUACUGUAACUAGUGCUGCAGUGACAGCGACCGGUCGACCCAAUACUCUUGCAGGCGCUGUGGCUGCUGUUUUUCACGACGGUGGUGGAACAGGUGUGGAGUCUUAUGUCGGUGUGAGGACGUUAAAGGAUCAACUCUGGGUUUUGUGCCCAACAGGGCAUCUUCUUCGUUACUUGCUGCGUCCUGCUGUCGGUGUUGAUGGUGGUCACACCAAUGACUUCUCUCAAAAGGUUGGAAUGUGCACACCAGGAAGCCCCGGCCUUUCGUCAGAUUUGAAGGUUGUUGUUGAACCUGUAGAGAGGUGGGAUGUUGCUCGUCGAUCAAACUGGGUUGAACGAGAAGAGUGUGUUGAGACUCAAGGUGCAUACCGUGAAGAAGAUGUGCUGGCCAAUUUCGGAAGUACGCGUAUUUCUUUACGACCUGUAGUUAAGGAAGGUAUGACAACCGAAGAGAUGCAACGGUUUUUUAUGUCCAAUGCUGAAGUGCAGACGCAUCAAGCCAGUCCUGUGCCCAUCUGGGCAAAGACUAAGAUACAAUUCCAUGUGAUGCUAUCGGAUAUAUCAAAGGACCCUGAAGCUGGCGACCUCUUUGGAGAUGAGAUUGAGAUUGAAAAUUUUUCUACUCGGGUCGUCGUAGUACGAAGAAAAGAUCUGGUUCCUGUUAUUGAAAGGCUUCAAAACUUUACCGACGCGCAGGGUUCUCGGUAUAUAGAAGGUUCAGAUACUUUACCUGGAGUGUCCAAUUCUCCUGACCAACUUCUUGGGGAUGAGAGUGCAGCAGAUGGGUUUUACGGAGAAGGUUUGAAGGGCAUGCCUAUUCAACGCUCCAAUAGUUGCUGUAGCUUUGUUUCGAAAGGUGCUCCACUUGCUGCUGGCUCAGAUAGUAUGAAUGGUUAUCAUCAUGGUUACCAAGAUUUGCGAGAGGUGGUACUAACAGACACCCCACCUUCAUCGUUUGGUUCACCUCCAUAUUUCCAUCAAACCCCUCAAGGAUUAAAGCCGCUUCUAGUAGGAAGAUCUGAGGCAUCACAUGCCCAUGAACACGUGAGUGGUACGGCUGAGGAUGCUCAGACCGUGGAUACAAAAGGUUUUCACAGCAAAACUAAUGGGAAUGAAAAUCUUGACCAAGGGGAUGACGUAUUGGAGGAACCAAUGUUUCCUUUCUGUGAAGAUUGCUAGGCUGGAGGGUGUGUAUCCAUUCUGGUCUGUUCAUCGUUGGACGAGACUUAAAUCGCCAAUUUCCUUGGCACCUGCCACAUCCCUUGUCGUUGGUGGAGAAUAGAACAGGUUCCACCUUCCAUCAGCCAGCAGUUCUAAAUCUGCUGGAAUACAAAAGUAGAGACUGUUGUCACGCUGUCCCCACCUUGACGACGACCGUCCCUGCGGUAAGUCCAUCGGAAUCUUCCUCCCACUCAAUUUCUUUCUUCUCUCUCCCUUCUCCAACACCGCACAUUGCUCAAAGAUGCAACAUAUUGCUCUGAUCUUGUACUGAAUUACGACAACAGUCAUCGCCAUUUUAGUCGAAUUUGAUCGGUACAUUGCCGAGCUGAUCGAAUGAUCAAGUACCAGACAAUCACUUCUCGGUCCUGCCGAGUUCACGAGGUCAAGGCUCAACAGCAAUCUAACUGAAACUUUGCAACAAUUGCGGUGGUUGACUAUCCUCACUUCGGUCUUGAUCAAGACGGAUGUUCGAAGAAAGACGCGAAAUCCUGGCCUGUUUCAUUCCUCCGCACUGGAAACAUAGCUUCGAGAGCUAUUCCUUUCGACUUCCACAACUUAGGGGAUACUUCAGCCUGUCAGCAUGCUCGUAGCGGCAACGAGGCUAACCUGCAAUCUAAAUGGGACUCCGGAGCGUGACUGGCGUUAGUUCACAUACCCAACUCAACUCAUUUUGAUCACCAGAGGCCAUCGUCAUGGGCGUUACUGUCUCCUAGAAGACGACUGUUGAUCUGUGAUCGGAGGUUGAGAGCAGUGAUCCCGGCAUCCAUCUGCUAUAAUAGCUUCUACUGAUGGUUUAAUACCCACUUGCUCGAUUGAACUGACCAGAUCUGCUUGUCGAUGGAUAAAAGCAUGCGUCAGUUACCAGCAGAGCAACCCCAGGAAGAUUCCAUCAUCUUCGUUGUUAAACCCAAGUCAUCCUCAUCAGCUAGACUCCUGAAUCCAGAAAAGCUCAUCCGUCUCCGAGAAAACAUUUCGAAAUGUUUGUCAUGCAGUGAGGGUUCAUUAGGGGGUGACUGAUCUGCUGAGUGGGACGAAUAAUUUAGUGGCGGUCGCUAUCAUUUCUUUGACGAAGGAUUUUUGAUAGACUUCCUGAUGGAGCUUCCGUCGGUUGCUGAUUCAUCCCCACCUUCUCCUUGCAGGCGAUGGAUCCAAGUCGCAGCUUCAACACCUGAUCUGGAACCUUGACGUCGACAUAUGCAACAGCUGAUGCUGAUCGUGUGCGCGGCCGACCUUUGUUUAUUAGCGUUGGCUUUAUUAAUGUUGAGGUUGAACUUUCCCGACUUGGAAUGUGGAGUAUUUUAAGUUUUUACAAUAUUAUAGUCAAAUUUGGUUGUAGUUAGUUGUCUAGUUCAUAGUGGUCCAGAGAUCCAACAUCAUAUUUCAAAAAUGUUGAGAUUUAAAUGAUGAUCCUAACAUAUAA